rnacentral:misc_RNA from 1 species
UACGAAGGGUGCAAGCGUUGUUCGGAAUCACUGGGCGUAAAGCGCACGCAGGCGGACUAUUAAGCCAGAGGUGAAAGCCCGGGGCUCAACCCCGGAAUUGCCUUUGGAACUGGUAGUCUAGAGUAUGAUAGGGGGUGGUGGAAUUCCUAGUGUAGAGGUGAAAUUCGUAGAUAUUAGGAGGAACACCAGAGGCGAAGGCGACCACCUGGGUCAUUACUGACGCUCAUGUGCGAAAGCGUGGGGAGCAAACAGG